UCAGGAGGGAUAGAAUCUGUGACACGUAUAAGAAAGGAACAAAAUUUAUCUGCUCUGGUUGCAAUGAUUAGAUGUCUCGUUGUCUGGCUUUCUUACAGUGGAUGAUUGAUCGUACCCGCCAGCUGGCUAAUAUCAUAAUUAACAAAGUUGCUAGCACGUCUGAGAAGUUUAAUCGAAAAAUUUGCCAGCAGUAUGAUGCCAUUGUCACAAAGAUCACAAGCAUUGCAGAGUUGACUUUUGCACCAGUGAAGCUGCAGGACUAUGUCGAUGUGCUGAGAAGUGGUACAGUGGUACAACUAAAGUGAGAUGCACUUGCAGAAGGAGCAUGAUUUUGUUCCAGCGAAACUGGCCAGGGGCAAAAUAAUGUUACAGAGCCGAUAGAACUGGCAUGAUAAAAAAGAAUCUUGGACUAAAGAACAGCUGUCUGAUGCUAAUCUUUACAUGCAGUUGCUGAACAUUUUCAACGGACAAAUAUUGGAACUUAUUGAAGAGGUUCAGAUAUUAUAUGGAAGACUAGCUACAAACUGACAAAGCUAUUUUGUCAAUCAAGCGUGCACAGCCUUUUGAAAAUGUCCACAACUAUGAAAACAAAAUUUGAAAAGCUUAAAGUCAACAUGUCACAUUUAAAGACUUUCUGUACACCUGGGAUUCAGAUAAGGCACUGGAAUAUGGUAAAUCAAAAGGUAAAAUAUUGUUUGUUGUCAGAAUGAGUGUUCAUACUUUGGAAUAUUUUGUCCAAUAAAAAUUAAGUAUUGCGUCUCUUGUUA